GUAUGCCUAACACAUGCAAGUCGAACGAUGUCUUCGGACAUAGUGGCGGACGGGUGAGUAACGCGUGAGAAUCUGCCUUGAGGAUGGGGACAACAGUUGGAAACGACUGCUAAUACCCGAUGUGCCGGAAGGUGAAAAUUUUUUGCCUCAAGAGGAGCUCGCGUCUGAUUAGCUAGUUGGUGGGGUAAAAGCGUACCAAGGCAACGAUCAGUAGCUGGUCUGAGAGGAUGAGCAGCCACACUGGGACUGAGACACGGCCCAGACUCCUACGGGAGGCAGCAGUGGGGAAUUUUCCGCAAUGGGCGAAAGCCUGACGGAGCAAUACCGCGUGAGGGAGGAAGGCCUUUGGGUUGUAAACCUCUUUUCUCAGGGAAGAAGAUCUGACGGUACCUGAGGAAUAAGCAUCGGCUAACUCCGUGCCAGCAGCCGCGGUAAUACGGAGGAUGCAAGCGUUAUCCGGAAUUAUUGGGCGUAAAGCGUCCGCAGGUGGUCUUUCAAGUCUGCUGUCAAAGACCAGAGCUUAACUCUGGGCAGGCGGUGGAAACUGAGAGACUAGAGUUCGGUAGGGGUAGCGGGAAUUCCCAGUGUAGCGGUGAAAUGCGUAGAUAUUGGGAAGAACAUCGGUGGCGAAGGCGCGCUACUGGACCGAAACUGACACUCAGGGACGAAAGCUAGGGUAGCGAAAGGGAUUAGAUACCCCUGUAGUCCUAGCUGUAAACGAUGGAAACUAGGUGUGGCUUGUAUCGACCCGAGCCGUGCCGUAGCCAACGCGUUAAGUUUCCCGCCUGGGGAGUACGCACGCAAGUGUGAAACUCAAAGGAAUUGACGGGGGCCCGCACAAGCGGUGGAGUAUGUGGUUUAAUUCGAUGCAACGCGAAGAACCUUACCAGGGCUUGACAUGUCCGGAACUUUUCUGAAAGGAGAAGGUGCCUUCGGGAAGCGGAACACAGCUGGUGCAUGGCUGUCGUCAGCUCGUGU
rnacentral:rRNA from 1 species